UCACAAAAACUGUUCUCUCUGACUUUAUACCAUCAUCUGAAUCUCCCAUUUAUUUUUGUGUAUGCUUACACCUAUCACAAGCAACAUCAAAUGAUUAAUAAGAUAAAGCAGUUGUACAGAACUUAACACUUAAAAAAAAAUGAAUGGUAUAGAACAAAUAAAACCAACAUUAGAAACCAAAUCAAUUAAUAGAGAAAAAUCAAUACAAUAAACCAAUGAUAAAAUGAUAUUUAAUUUCAAAAACUAAUUCUCACAUCCUAAAUUAAUAAUCAAUACAUAUUUUUUAAAUUAUGGGUUUAAUACUCCUCUUGAUAGCCACCAAGGCAUACCCUGAUCAAAGUUUCAGUAAAUAUUGAAAAGAUAAUCACAAUUUAAGAUAAAUAGACGAGGUAGCUGUUGGAAACACGACCAAUUUCUUUGUUAUAAAAACUGGAAACAAGUCAUCUCUCCUGUUCUGAUUUUUUUCAAAAGAAUGAAACAAGUUAAGCAAUACAAACUCUUGCUUGCUAAUAUAUACACGUUUGGUAUAACAGGAAAUUAAGGGAAAAUAAUCACAAAUCACAUAUCAAUCUUUCAAAAAGGGUAGAUUUAUUUCAAUAAUUUCAAAUCAUGCAUCUUUCUCCUAAGACUGAACCAUUUAUACAAAAGUCAGAUCAAACCACCCCUGUAAUAGAGACAGAAAGAAACAAAUCCACAUAUUUUUUUCAGAAUGUACAAGGAAAUAUAUGGGCUCAGUUGCUACACAACUUGAUUUUCUCAGGAUCUCAAACAUAACAAGCACCAAGCAUGGAUCAAAUUUAUGCCUAUAUUCAAUUCCAUAAAUAAAAGCAAACAACCCCAAAGCAAACAAAUUGGUUUUUCCUAACAUAAUAUCAUCAAUCACCAAAUUUUUCCCAUCUUCUUCCCCAAUUCUCAGAGCACUUUGGUAUCAUCCACAACCUGAAACAAUACAACGCAUCUCACAAACUUGAUCAAUUUCCCCAACUUCCUCACUCAACUCACCUCCAAAAAUCACUUCAAUUAAUGAAAUUUUGAUAAAUCAAGCUGUUCUAAUCCAAAAUCAGACCACUUCCUCAGCACCCUUCUCAACCACUUCCCCGGAACAAUUAUCCCGACCCUAUCUACACAACCAAUUCGCCAACUGCGUGAAUUAUCCAAUUGAUGUCACCCCCGGAACUGCAUUAAUCGAAAACCAAAACAGCCUACUUCAAUGGUCAAAUGUGCCAAAAGAAAACAUUUAUUUGUUAAAUUUUUCAACUCAAUUAAGCCUUCAACAUAAGGACAAAAUGAUUUUAGCAACACAAUGAGGGAAAGAAAGACAUUUCUCGCCAUUUUCAGAGAAGAAAUAUCUUGGAAACCAAAUCAAAAGUUUCAGAGAAAAAAACAAGAGGAGUUGGCAAUAAAGAUCGUCUUACGUGAUUAUGGAUUGAAGGAGAAUCUAAGUUAGGUUUAUUGGGACCGGUUGGUCACUGCCAUUCAAAUUCUUCACUCCGAGACUGCCGAUGACGAUUUUAGGGUUAGGGUUAGGUUUUGCGAAACCGGAAUGAGAGUGAAAUGAUAUUGGGUUGAGUUUUGAAACCGCAUGCACUGAUAAGCCUCUUCUAAGAAAAUAUCAAAAAUGAUAUUGUUUGAAGAUGUGUAUUAUUUGACACAACAGAAAUUAACUGUUAUACAUACUUUGUUCCUCGAGGUUAUGUUUGGUUCAUACUUUGUUCCUCCCGUUAUGUUUGGUUCCGGAAAGUAACAAGGAAAUAAAAAAAAAAAAAUGUAAAGGAAAAUGGUUUUAUCAUGGUUUCACUAUAAUUUUUUUUUAAAUAAAAUAUAAUUAAAAUUAG
rnacentral:lncRNA from 1 species